rnacentral:rRNA from 1 species
UACGAAGGGUGCAAGCGUUACUCGGAAUUACUGGGCGUAAAGCGUGCGUAGGUGGUUUCUUAAGUCUGCUGUGAAAGCCCCGGGCUCAACCUGGGAAUUGCAGUGGAUACUGGGAAGCUAGAGUGCGGUAGAGGGUAGUGGAAUUCCCGGUGUAGCGGUGAAAUGCGUAGAGAUCGGGAGGAACACCAGUGGCGAAGGCGGCUACCUGGACCAGCACUGACACUGAGUCACGAAAGCGUGGGGAGCAAACAGG